AUCAACAAGAGAACAAAGAGUGUACAAUCCAAAAUCUCAGCUAAAAAGAGAAAGUAUCACAACUGUAGUUCUCAAACCACAAAGUAAAUAUAUAUCACUGGUAUACAAAAGUAGAUACAAUGGAAGUCUCUCUAUACAUAGGGACAUCACCCUCGGCCGUAGCCCGAGUAGCAAGGUGAUCGACUAGCAUGCUCCUAGCAAUGUCUAGCUAGACGCGACUCCCUUGCCACGAUCCCUAACCUCUCCUGUAGAUGGCUCUGUAAAAACAACCACCAAAAGGGCGUGAGAACUAUUAACAAUAGUUCCCAGUGGGUAAGCCGCCAGCCUCGGCGAAUUACACCACUAGGCUCAUGAUGUACUAAAUGAAAGCAAAAGCAAUAAUUGCAUGAUGUAUAUAANUAAAACCUAAUUAUAUUGUUCUUUUAUGCCCCGAGAGUGUAAAUUUCGACCGAAUCGAUGUCAACCACCACAAGAACCAAAACCGGAACAACAAUAGACUACUAAGUUGCGCCCUAACAGUAUAAAUUUGCAACGAGUACUUUUUCUCAUUCUAUCGAAAAAAGAGUAAAGCCUAUUUAUAUUAUUCUAUUAUGCCCCGAGAGUGUAAAUUUGGAACGAAUCGAUGUCAACAUUCACAAGAACCAAAACCGGAACAACAGUUGACUACUUAGUUGCGCCCUAACAGUAUAACUUUGCAACGAGUAUGUCACGCCCGGAUACCAGCGGAAGCAUAUCCGGCACGUGCACAGACCCGCCAUACACCUGCAGUAUAUAAGGCGUCUACAAGAAGCAAGUCGAUAGGAAGUAAAACAAGAAGUCCUAUCCUGAUAUCAGAGCAAAGUACAAGUCGAUAUACAACAAGUAUCAAAUCCAAGUCAAAAUACAAAGAGUAUACAAUCCAGGAUCUCAACAAAAGGAGAAGUAACACCACUAAUCUCAACCCCGAAAGUAAGAUAUACAUCAUGGGUAUACAAAAAGAAUAGAUACAAUGGUGGUCUCUCUAUAUACAUAUAUGGACAUCACCCUCGGCCGUAGCCCGAGUAGCAAGGUGAUCGACUAGCACGCUCCUAGUAGUCCCUAGCUAGGCGCGACUCCCUUGCCUCGAUCCCUGGCCUCUCCUGUAACAGGCUCAGUAAAAACAACCACCAGAAGGGCGUGAGAACUAUUAACAAUAGUUCCCAGUGGGUAAGCCGCCAGCCUCGGCGAAUUACACCACUAGGCUCAUGAUGUACUAAAUGAAAGCAAAAGCAAUAAUUGCAUGAUGUAUAUAAGGCCAACAGGUAAUGAGCAUGUAAGCAACAUGUAAUCAUAAUCUCAACAGUAAUGAAUCAACUGAUUAAUAGAAGCAUAGCAACUACUAUAAGCAUAAACAUAAGCAUAAAUGUGUAAGUAACUACUGUACACUGUAGCUGGUAAUCAUUCAUUACUGCCCAAUUUCCUUUAGCUCUUUCCUUUCAUUCACAGGGAUCUACUCAAGGUAGUCCAGCUUGCGCCGCGCCUAAUUGCCCCGUGGUGGUAUACACUCCCCACGGCAAUCCACUUCGGCACCCAAUCCCGCACGGGCGAGCAACUGUCGCGUAGGCCAACUCCGGAGUGCCGGCUUGUAGGGAGCUACCCUCACAAGCAUGUGCGAAUGAGCACGAUGGCAAGCAAGCAUAUUCCACAGUUCAACAUGUCUCAAUUAUCGCAUUUUAGCUCACAAUAUUCUCGCUCUCGAUCCUUUGAUCGGAAUUUCAAUAUAACCAAUAUUGA
rnacentral:lncRNA from 1 species